AGCCAGUGUGGCGUAGUGGUUUGGGUGUUGGACUAUGACUCUGGAGACCAGAGUUCGGUUCCCAGCUCGGCUA